AUUAGAAUAUAUAUAAAUAAUAAAUAAUAAAUUUAAUAUAAAAAAUAAGAAAUAAUUUUAAAUAUUUCAUUAGCUUUAUACUUAAAACUCUUGAAUUCUAAUAUAUUUUAAAUUAUUAUUUUUUAAACGAGUUGGCUCGCUUUCUAAUGAGUCGAAUCACGGCUGACUGAAGCCAAACUCGAUAGCUCAUCAAGCCAUUCAUCAAGCAGCCGACUCGUAAGUUGACUUGACUCACUCACACCCAUAUACGGAAGCAAUAGAAUAUGCAAGUAAUACACUUUUUAAAUCAAUUAAUUAAGAUUAUGUCCCAUCUUCUAGAACGAAAUUAAUUAUUGGCAAGGAAUUAGUAUAAAUAUUAUAUUAUUUAUAUUAAAUUAUCAUAUUUUGUUGAUUAUAACAUCAGUAGAUUAUAAUAAACUUUUGAGAGUGUGGACAUAUAUAGCUCAAAUGUAUUGUAUUCAGCUUUAUAUUCUAGAAUUUCCUUUGCUUUCAAACAAAGGCUUUUAAUUUCAAUCUAUUUGUAUCAGUUAAUUACCUAUCUUGCCUUCAAAAUCAAAGCAUUGCUAUCGUACGAUAUAUUUUUUAAUUAUUUUUAUUUAACCGAUUGAGAAAACAAUUUGUGGUCUCCCUUUUUAGGAAUUUUAGGAUUGGGAGUCAUUUUCUCUUAUUAAUGGCUUUUUUUUCUUAAUUGAAGGACUAAAAUUCAAUUGCUGUUUGAUUUCAGAAUUUCAAAAUGGACAUUCUGCCUUUGUUUGGUAUCUUGUGCCACCAUCUCAAGAUCAAAAUGUACUCGGGUGCAAGUGGUUUUACAAGACUAAACUCAAUCCAAAUGGCUCAGUUGCACGCUACAAAGCUAGAUUGUUUACUCAAGGAUUCAAACAUGAGUAUGGAAUUGACUACAAAGACACAUUUAGCCCGGUGGCAAAAUUCCCCACCAUCAGACUUCUUAUUAUUGCCACCCACUUCCAAUGGCAUGUGUUACAUCUCAAAGUCUAUAAUGUGUUUUUGCAUGGAAAACUUUCUUAAAUGGUUCAUAUGAAGCAACCCCAAUAUUUUAUUGAUCUAUAAUUUCCCUCCCCCGUUUGAAAAUUGCAUAAGUCCAUCUACAGACUCAAACAAUCCCCUCGAUAGUGCUUUUCUACCUUUUCCUCCCAUCUUUUGCAAUAUGGGUUUCUUACAAGCAAAGUUGAUCCCUCCUUCAUGAUAUUUCAUAAAGGCCGCAUUCUCUCUACCUACUCGUGUAUGUGGAUGAUGUGCUCCUUACAGGCAAUAGGAAAUCUGAAAUUGACAAACUUCUUACAAAUUUGAACUCUCAUUUUUGCAUGAGAAACUAGGUCCCGUUUAACAAUUCUUGGGCAUCCACAUUCAUACUACUCUUCAAGGCAUGUGACUAAAUCAAUCAAGAUAUAUUACUGAUCUGCUCACCAAAGAUGGAAUGCUCCAAUGUGAACCGGUCUUAGCCCACUUCCCUCUAAACUUCACACUUCAAAGCCUACGGAUACACCAUUUCCACAACCUGAACACUACUGCCAAUUAGUUGGCUCUUUACAAUAUCUCACCAUUAUCAGGCCCGACAUCGCCUUUGUCGUUAAUCAUUUAUGUCAACAUAUGAACAACCCAUCAAAUAAUCACUUUUAGUUAUUAAAAAGGGUGCUCUGAUAUCUGUAAGGGACACUUAACUAUGAGAUUCCACUCCGAAAGUCGUCUCUACAGCUCUUCGCCUAUACUGAUUCAUAUUGGGCCGCUGAUUCUCUGGACAGAUGUUCCGUCACCUUAUUAUGUACUUUCCUUGGCGAUACAUUACUCUCUUGGUUAGUUAAAAAGCAACCCACCGUUGCUCGUUCAUCAACUGAACCUGAAUACAGAGCGUUGGCAGCUAUUGCAAGCAAAAUUAUGUGGCUAAGGUGACUUCUUGCAUACUUUCGCAUCUCAUCCGACACUCCCACUUCAGUGUAUUGUGACAAUACCUCCGCAAUUGUCUUAGUUAAUAACCCUAUUAUUCAUGCUCGUACGUACAAAGCAUAUUGAAGUGGUUUAUCAUUUUAUA